UAGUGUAUGAUUUUUUUUAAUGGAUAUGAAUAAAUGCCAAUAUUUGGGCAGCACUCAGCAGAAUUAAUCAUUAUUGUCUUUGACAUUAUUUAAAAUAAUCCAGUAAAAUAUGUUAUGCUUAUAAAAAAUUCAUCUGUACGGAAUAGUAAGAGGGGGAGAGAGAUGGCUGAAGCACUGACGAUCACUAUACUGAUCAAAUAAGCUAACUAUUACUAAUUACGACACACCGAUUGUAAGUCCCACGGUAAAUCAUUUUUUCCGGUAAGGCAAUAGCCUUUGCCACGGCCGCAACCAAAAGCUAGUUUAUUUUAUCCAAAGAGUCUCAUAAGCAUUUGUACUAAAUAUAAGAGUUGGAUGAAAAAUACAAAUUGAUUCAGAGAAAUUUUAAAAGUUUGUAGCAGUAAUAGAAGAAGAAGACAUCAUCGAUCAUUUAUUACUUAGUAAAGGCCAACAUUUCAUCUGGAAUAAUAAGAGACAGAGAUGGCUGAAGCGCCGGUGUUGGCUAUGCUAGUAAAAUAAGCUAAACAUUGCGAGUCCGACAGUAAGUCCCGCGGCAAUCCUUAUUGUUUGGAGGUGGAAGGCAGUAGCCUUUGCCACGGCCGCAAUUAAAAACUGCUUUACUUUCAUCCAAAGAGUCAAAAGCAUUUGUACUACCAGCAGCAGCAAGCAUUCUACUGAACUCGGAGUCCAUCAUGAACUCAACAUCCAAGUUUGUAUCCCCUACGGAGAAGUGGUUGGCAUCCGCGGCCAUUGGAACCGCAGCUCUGCAAGGGCUUGUGCGUAGCAGAAUCAGCACCAACACUGCUAUGACCGACACUGAUUCACAGGAAAACCUCAUAUUCUGCCUCUCCACAAGCCUUUCCCUUGUUGCUUAUUAUUUUCUGUAGCUGUGCUGUGCAAGUCAUAUAAUUGAUGAGAGAGCUUCAUGUGAGUUGUGGUUGUGUGAAAGCGACUUAAUUAGAACAUCCAGGUCAUGUCCAACUGCAUAAAAUAUUUUUUUUAUUUAUUAAUUAUGUUAAAUAAUUUCAUUAAGUUAACUUAAUUUUGGUCAUGAGUAAUUAAUGAAUUCAGAAAAUUAAAGUUUAAAAUAAAACCUUAGCGUUUUACCAAAAUAAGCUCAAUUUUUAUUUUUUUACUAUAUAAACCCCACACUUUAUUUUUCACCCAUUUAAACACACUAUUGCUCCAAGUACAGUAGUUGAUCACAACUGUUUGACAUCCAAAAAUUUGCAAAGUGAAAAUUCAAUCUAUUUCCUACUGAAAUAUGCAGACACAUAAAUUCAAAAUCUGGUUCUUCCGAUUUUAAGCUCGAAGCCGACUAGAAAUCCUAGAAAAGAUGUCCUCGGAGGAAAACAACAGUGUUUCCUUCAAAUAAUGCCACUUCACUCACUCACUGGCGGCCACUAUAGGAUUUGAUAAAUGAACUUGGCCCUCUGAGUCUUGCCAGAAAAUCAAGUUAAAACAUUCGCCUGUUUGCCAAUUUGUUAUGGAGUAGAUUUAUUUAAAAAAAUUUUCAAGUAAAAAUUUCCAUUGAUUCUUAUAAAUAAAAUUAAAAAAAAAAAUCAUUUAAAGAUAAAUUGGAUGGUCCAGAGUAACGAAAUCCACUGAACUCGGAACCCAUCAUGAACUCAAAAGUCAAAAUCCACGUUUGAAGUGGUUGCCACCUAGAGAACACAGGUCCUGCAAUUGCUCAUGCUCAACAGAAUCAACACCACCACUGAUCGAAAAGGAAAACCUCAUAUUCUGCC
rnacentral:lncRNA from 1 species